CCUACGGGAGGCAGCAGUGGGGAAUAUUGCACAAUGGGGGAAACCCUGAUGCAGCGACGCCGCGUGAGUGAAGAAGUAUUUCGGUAUGUAAAGCUCUAUCAGCAGGAACGAGACAAGACGGUACCUGACUAAGAAGCCCCGGCUAACUACGUGCCAGCAGCCGCGGUACUACGUAGGGGGCAAGCGUUAUCCGGAAUCACUGGGUGUAAAGGGAGCGUAGACGGCUGUGCAAGCCUGAAGUGAAAGGCGGGGGCCCAACCCCUGGACUGCUUUGGGAACUGUACGGCUGGAGUGCAGGAGAGGUAAGUGGAAUUCCUAGUGUAGCGGUGAAAUGCGUAGAUAUUAGGAGGAACACCAGUGGCGAAGGCGGCUUACUGGACUGUAACUGACGUUGAGGCUCGAAAGCGUGGGGAGCAAACAGGAUUAGAUACCCGGGUAGUC
rnacentral:rRNA from 1 species